CAGUCGCCACGGUAAAACGUAGGUGGCAAGCGUUAUCCGGAAUUAUUGGGCGUAAAGCGCGCGUAGGCGGUUUUUUAAGUCUGAUGUGAAAGCCCACGGCUCAACCGUGGAGGGUCAUUGGAAACUGGAAAACUUGAGUGCAGAAGAGGAAAGUGGAAUUCCAUGUGUAGCGGUGAAAUGCGCAGAGAUAUGGAGGAACACCAGUGGCGAAGGCGACUCUCUGGUCUGUAACUGACGCUGAGGAGCGAAAGCGUGGGGAGCGAACAGGAUUAGAUACCCCCGUAGUCCCUGUCUCUUAUAC
rnacentral:rRNA from 1 species